CCACUACUCAACCGAAAUAUAAGGCAUAAUGUAAUGGAUACCGCAUGACGGGCAGUUGGUUGAAAAACUUGUCCAGUAGUCAGGCCGUUCUAUUUUUAUGCACUUAAAUGAAGAUGCUUAAAAGAUCAAAGGCUGAAGGCUCGAUCACAGUGCUGAAGCACAAUGAGAUGAAGUCCACCUGUUUUUGUGUUUACACGACUCUGCCGAUAGCUUUGUCUUUGCGCACGUGCCGAUCUACAGCAGGCGGACUGUGCGCGGCCGUGACGUCAGCUUCACUUCCUCCGCAGGCUCUUUUCCUGAGGAUGGACGUCUGCCUGCCUGUGUUGCUGCCAACCAGGGGCCAAAGCAAUGACAAAAACAUCCUUCCAGCCCACUACCUGCCCCUGUGGCCUUGUCCAGCUCCAUACUACCUCUUGUUUGCAGGAAGGCCAUGUUUCCUGAGUGACAGGGAUUUGUGGGGAUCGGGGCUGGACUUUUUAAAUAUUCUCAAUAACACUGUUUGCUUUGUCUUUGUUUAUGUGCUACAUCAGGUGCAUUGAAGAGCGUCUGGAGCCUUGCGAUAUUAGAAACGCUUUUUAAAAGGACAGAGAAGAGAUUUGACCUGGUGAGUUAAUGUGAUUUAGACUAUAUCAUUAUUUGGUAUAUGUUAACAAGCAGUAGUAAAUACAAAUAUUUUUUCUUUGAGCCUUGUUUUAAGAACAGCGUUAAUGAUUACGUAAAUGUGUAUUUCAUGACAAGGGCAUGCUGCCUUUGGACCAAAAUAGUUGAAACCAUAACAUGAUGGCGCUUGUUUAUUCCCUCUUUUAUUUAAUGUAUGGCAGCUCUUUUUAAUUACUGAACAUGUUGAGCUUAGAGAACAUGUGCAAAAUUGUACAUUUAUGGGUACAACAGCACUUUGUAUACCUAAAAUAUCUUUAAAAUGUGCAUUUUAGGUAUCUUUGUAACUUGUAACAUUAAAAUACUACUAUAAACCUUUUUGUGUUAAUAAGGUGCUGUACAUAAAAGUAACGAUUUUGCACUUUUUUAUUUUAUUUAUUUAUUUAUUUUAUUUAUUUAUAGGCAAUUGAUACUACUGGAAAAAUGAAAUGUUUGCAAUGUUUGCAAUGUAAUUAAAUGUGCAAUGUUCUUUUAUUUUUGUAUGCAUUCUGACACACAUUUUCAAAAUGAAAAAUAGAUAUUACUCAAAAUUAGAUUUAGAAAUAAAGUCUAUUUAGUUAGUUAGUCAAUGGGGUUAAAUGUUUUGUUCCCUAUUCACUUUCAUCGUAUGCACAAAAACUGUUGAAACAUUGUUCAAAAUAUUGUCCCUUUUGUUUAAUAAGUCCUACUGGUUUGGAAAUGGUGAAUGAGUAAACGAUGACAGAAUUAGAUUUUUGUGAGAUAUCCAUUCCAAUUUGGAUAUAAUCUUUCUAUUUUAAGCAUCAGUUACCCGUGUAUUUGUUUUAUUCCCGUGGCUAUUUUCAUUAAUACUUGUUAAAUUUGUCAGGGGGUAGUUAAAAGAAAUGAUUAAUAAGCUGAUAAGUGAGCAAUGUGUUGCAAUUACUGUAUUUAAAUCAUUACAUGUCUGGAACACGCCCUGUUUUAUUUUGAGACGCUUUUUUCCACGCCAAGGUUCUCAGUAACAGACUGAGAUUUCUCACUAAGCCUCUUCUGAUUGAUUUACGGCUUGUUUGAUGUAUCUUCAAUUGCUCUUGAUCCGCCAAUGGCAUUGUCAUCAGAGCAUUAGACAUGUACAAAGAGCGGCUCUGCGGAUGGGAAUGCCUUUCAAAAGCUGUCCCUAAUUAAAGCUGAUUGUGUCUUUCAUAAACGAGGACACAGAUUGCGCUGUUCCCCCAUCUCUCGGGUUUAGUUGCAUCUCUAUCUAUUUCCAGCUGACCAGCUGUGAUGGAAGCAUGCCGAUGGGACUCUCAGAUUUAGCCAAGACGGUCGCCUCAGUUUCAGUUCCCGCCCCUCCUCUUCCCUAGCAUCAAUCACUCAACACCAAGUGUGUGUGUGUGUAGGUUGGAAUGUUUGUGUGAGCAUGUAUGGACACCCUGAGGUGACCUCGGCCCAGAUCACAUCAUUAGCCGUAAAUCUGAAGACACCCACAAAACAAACACAUUUAGAGCACAUUUGGGCAUUCUUCCUCACUGUCUGAUUUACACUCCGGUGAAAUGAAAUCUUACGCAACACCAGUCUCUUCACGUGAGUGAUACGGUCACGGAUUGCUCCACUUUCAUGUCUGUGAAAUACACCAAGGCGCUAAUUGAGCAGCCUAUCUUGCCAGGCUGCGAAUUCCCCUUGUGCUGAUCGUUGAUAUGCCCCUUGGGGGCCUGUAAAAGUGGCAAGAGGCCAGCGAGAGUCCUGGAUCUGCACAAUGAGAUCACCAAGGCUUGGAUCAGUUGUGUAACGGUACUCAUGUAUCAUGCCACAGAGUUGGACACUUCACGCUGUGCAUCUCAUGUACUCUUCAUCCAACAAAGCCUGUUGGUUUCGUGCCCCUGAAAAUUAGAAAAGCCCCCCCCACAGGAGCUCCAGGUCUUUCCCAAUGCCAUGCUGACAUGCAGAAAGUGGCCUUGGAAGCUGCUUGUGACUUACUUAAAGGGACAGUUCAAUCGAAUAUAUGAUUUUUUUUCUGUACAGUGAAAGUCGAAAACAACUUUUGUCCCCAUUGACUUUUAUUAUAUGGACAUUAAAGCGAUAGUUCGCACAAAAAUAAAAAAUCAGUCAUUAAAUACUCACCCUCAUGUCGUUCUAAACCCGUAAGACCUUUGUUCAUCUAUGGAAUAAAUUUUUUGAUGAAUUCUUUGACCCUCCCGUAAACAGCAGGGCGCCUAUCACGAUCAAAGUCUAGAAACAUAGCAAGGACACGAGAAUAUUUUUUGAGCGCAAAGAAAUUUAUUCUAUGAUUCAUCCGGAGCCAUUUUGGAGACUAUCACAGCAUAUGUGUAUGCAGCACCACACGGGUAUGCUGUUUACAUUGUUUAUGCUUUGAUUUGAAUGUAAACAGCUUAUCCGCGUACGUACGUUGCAUAUGUUGUUUACGUAUGCGAUGCUCCCCAAAAUGGCGCUAGGGUGACACGGAGGAGACAAAAAUAAUUGAAUAAACAGCUGCUUUUGUUUUCUUCGUGCACGAAAGGUUUUCUAGUAGCUUCGAAAAAUUACUAUUGAACCCCUGAUGUCACAUGGAUUAUUUUAAUGAUGUGUUAAUGUUUUUCUGGACACUUAUCAUGAUAGGAUCCUUGCUGUCUAUGAGAGAAAGGGUUAUCGGAAUUCAUCCAAAAAAUUAUUAUUUCCGUUUUGAAGAUGAAUAAACGUCUUGCAGAUUUGGAACGACAUGUUUCUCACUAUCCCUUUAAGCUUUUUUGCAUGGUCAGUGGUCCCAAGUAUCUUUUGGACAGAAAUGCAGUCGGCCAUGCACCGGGAGCAGAGCAUACCAGUUGCAUUACGACUCAGUGACUGUCCCUCUGCUUGUACAGUACCUUUGGGGUUUCCCUGAGCUGCCACAGGCCUGGCUCUAGUUUUAUGAGUAUGACAGUAUCUCUUGGAUGGACUUCACACUUGAAUGGCAGCACACAUCCAUGAUACUGGAUACAAAUCUGGCGUUGCAUUUUUAUAGCAUUUCAUCCCGUAAAUGUUUUUUUUCCUUUCUCUAUUUUGAGAUCACAUACAUGUUCUCAGCCUGGUACAAAUCUCAUCCGGCAGUUUUAGUGCUCCGGUAAGUGAGACGUCUGCCAGACUCAAAACAGGUGACAUUUUUCUUUGCAUAAACUCUAUCCUGUAAACACAGAGAUGAAGGAAAACAGAGUAAAACAUACUGUUGGCAAAUGUUGCAAAUGUCAUCCAACACUUUAGACUCAGCAUCGAAGCUGAAUAAAACUUAUUAUUAUAUAGGAUUCAUUUGGAUCAUUGUUAAAAAAUAUUUGUAUUGAUGCUAAUUUAUCUCAUUUCAGGUCCAUCUAUCUGUAAUAUAAUUAUUGUCAUACCUUAAUAUAAUCGCACUAAUCUGAUUAGUAUUAUAUAGUUUACUAAUGUUUGUUAACAUGCUUAAUGAAAGUUAUUAAUGAAACACACAACAAGAUAAAGUAGUAAGAUCCAGAUGAUUUGAAUGAUUUUUGGGUGUCUUCCAAAAUAAUUGGUGUUCUAUUUCUUUAGCAGAUGUUUCUGUCUAAUUUCUUGGGCAUAUAUAAUUUCUUUUGCAUAAAAGCAGCUCAUCAUAUGUACAUACUGUAGAUGUCUUUUCAAAUAAACCGAUUUGUGGAAUAUCAAAUAAAAA